CUUUGAAAAGAUUUGAUGCC
rnacentral:piRNA from 1 species